GACGAACGCUGGCGGCGUGCUUAACACAUGCAAGUCGAACGGAAAGGCCCUGCUUUUGUGGGGUGCUCGAGUGGCGAACGGGUGAGUAACACGUGAGUAACCUGCCCUUGACUUUGGGAUAACUUCAGGAAACUGGGGCUAAUACCGGAUAGGAGCUCCUGCUGCAUGGUGGGGGUUGGAAAGUUUCGGCGGUUGGGGAUGGACUCGCAGCUUAUCAGCUUGUUGGUGGGGUAGUGGCUUACCAAGGCUUUGACGGGUAGCCGGCCUGAGAGGGUGACCGGCCACAUUGGGACUGAGAUACGGCCCAGACUCCUACGGGAGGCAGCAGUGGGGAAUAUUGCGCAAUGGGCGGAAGCCUGAUGCAGCAACGCCGCGUGCGGGAUGACGGCCUUCGGGUUGUAAACCGCUUUCGCCUGUGACGAAGCGUGAGUGACGGUAAUGGGUAAAGAAGCACCGGCUAACUACGUG
rnacentral:rRNA from 1 species